rnacentral:rRNA from 1 species
AUGCACGCUGGCGGCGUGCCUCAUACCUGCCAGUCGAGCGAACGGACGAGAAGCUUGCUUCUCUGAUGUUAGCGGCGGACGGGUGAGUAACACGUGGAUAACCUACCUAUAAGACUGGGAUAACUUCGGGAAACCGUAGCUAAUACCGGAUAAUAUUUUGAACCGCAUGGUUCAAAAGUGAAAGACGGUCUUGCUGUCACUUAUAGAUGGAUCCGCGCUGCAUUAGCUAGUUGGUAAGGUAACGGCUUACCAAGGCAACGAUGCAUAGCCGACCUGAGAGGGUGAUCGGCCACACUGGAACUGAGACACGGUCCAGACUCCUACGGGAGGCAGCAGUAGGGAAUCUUCCGCAAUGGGCGAAAGCCUGACGGAGCAACGCCGCGUGAGUGAUGAAGGUCUUCGGAUCGUAAAACUCUGUUAUUAGGGAAGAACAUAUGUGUAAGUAACUGUGCACAUCUUGACGGUACCUAAUCAGAAAGCCACGGCUAACUACGUG